AUUGAACGCUGGCGGCAUGCUUUAUACAUGCAAGUCGUGCGGCAGCGCGGGGGCAACUCUGGCGGCGAGCGGCGAACGGGUGAGUAAUACAUAGGAACGUAUCCUGAAAUGGGGGAUAGCUCGGCGAAAGCCGGAUUAAUACCGCAUACGCUCCACGGAGGAAAGCAGGGGAUCGCAAGACCUUGCGUUUCUGGAGCGGCCUAUGUCUGAUUAGCUAGNGGCGGGGUAAUAGCCCACCAAGGCGACGAUCAGUAGCUGGUCUGAGAGGAUGAUCAGCCACACUGGGACUGAGACACGGCCCAGACUCCUACGGGAGGCAGCAGUAGGGUAAUUUUGGACAAUGGGGGCAACCCUGAUCCAGCCAUGCCGCGU
rnacentral:rRNA from 1 species